rnacentral:rRNA from 1 species
GAUGAACGCUGGCGGCGUGCCUAAUACAUGCAAGUCGAACGGAAGGACGAGGAGCUUGCGGUGUGGACGUGAGGGGCAGGCGUGUGAGUAACACGUGGAUCACCUACCUAUCAGACUGGGAUCACUUCGGGAAUGCGGCGAUAAUCGCAGAGAAUCUCUUGAUGCACGUGGUUCGAAGGUAAGAUACGGUGUUUGGGGCACGUAUAGCUGGAUCCGCGCUGCAUUAGAUAGUUGGUAAGGUAACGGCUUACCAAGGCAACGAGGCAUAGCCGACCUGACGGGGGGAUCGGCGACACUGGAGGUGAGACACGGUCCAGACUCCUGCGGGAGGCAGCAGUAGGGUAUCUUAGGCAAUAGGCGGAAGCCUGACGGAGUAACGCCGCGUGAGUGACGAAGGCCUUGGGAUCGUAAAAAUCUGUUAUUAGGGAAGAACAGAUGUGUAAGUAACCGUGGACAGCGUGACGGUAACUAAUCAGAAAGCCACGGCUAACUACGUG